CAAGUCGAACGGUAACAGGAAGAAGCUUGCUUCUUUGCUGACGAGUGGCGGACGGGUGAGUAAUGUCUGGGAAACUGCCUGAUGGAGGGGGAUAACUACUGGAAACGGUAGCUAAUACCGCAUAACGUCGCAAGACCAAAGAGGGGGACCUUCGGGCCUCUUGCCAUCGGAUGUGCCCAGAUGGGAUUAGCUAGUAGGUGGGGUAACGGCUCACCUAGGCGACGAUCCCUAGCUGGUCUGAGAGGAUGACCAGCCACACUGGAACUGAGACACGGUCCAGACUCCUACGGGAGGCAGCAGUGGGGAAUAUUGCACAAUGGGCGCAAGCCUGAUGCAGCCAUGCCGCGUGUAUGAAGAAGGCCUUCGGGUUGUAAAGUACUUUCAGCGGGGAGGAAGGGAGUAAAGUUAAUACCUUUGCUCAUUGACGUUACCCGCAGAAGAAGCACCGGCUAACUCCGUGCCAGCAGCCGCGGUAAUACGGAGGGUGCAAGCGUUAAUCGGAAUUACUGGGCGUAAAGCGCACGCAGGCGGUUUGUUAAGUCAGAUGUGAAAUCCCCGGGCUCAACCUGGGAACUGCAUCUGAUACUGGCAAGCUUGAGUCUCGUAGAGGGGGGGUAGAAUUCCAGGUGUAGCGGUGAAAUGCGUAGAGAUCUGGAGGAAUACCGGUGGCGAAGGCGGCCCCCUGGA
rnacentral:rRNA from 1 species